UACGGAGGGUGCAAGCGUUAAUCGGAAUUACUGGGCGUAAAGCGCACGCAGGUGGCUGAGUCAGUCGAUUGUGAAAGCCCUGGGCUUAACCUGGGAAUUGCAGUCGAUACUACUCAGCUAGAGUAUGGGAGAGGGUAGUGGAAUUCCCGGUGUAGCGGUGAAAUGCGUAGAUAUCGGGAGGAACAUCGAGUGGCGAAGGCGGCUACCUGGCCCAAUACUGACACUCAGGUGCGACAGCGUGGGAGCAAACAGGG
rnacentral:rRNA from 1 species